GUAAGCUGCGGGGUAAGAAGGCACGGCACCCUGCCGUGCCCAGCGGGCACGGUAGAGGAGCCGGUUCCCUCUCUCUCCCGCUCGUCUCUCCCUCUCCCUCUCGUGAGCAGCUACGGCGGCCCAUUCCGGCGAGCUCCGGCGGGAUUCGACGGCGCCCAGCACACCCACGUGACCCCCUCCCCCCGCUCCUCCAUCCCCUCCGACCAGAUCAGACGCGCGCGUGGGAUCAGAUGUUGCUAGGGGUAGUUCGGGGCGUGCGGGCGGACCAGAUCGACCUCAAGACCCUCGACGAGCAGCUCAACCGCCACCUCGCGCGCGCCAGGACUGGGAGGCCGACCCCGCCAGGCUCGUCGUCCGGGGCGUCAUCGCGCGCGGCACCUUCGGCACCGUCCACCGUGGCGUCUUCGACGGCCUCCACGUCGCAGGUCCAUCCCGCCACCAUCUCCUCUGCUCCACUCCCCUCCCCUCCACCCCCCGUUCACUGCACGCCUGUUCAUUGCCAACACGGACACUCGGCACGCGGGUACGUACGCAGCCAGCCCAGCCCAGCCGCGACCCCGCGCGCGCCCGUACGCUGUUCGACGGAAUGCCUGCUGGUGCGGCGGCGCCGUUCGUUGCGGCGAGACUUGUUGGAAUUAAACACGACAUAACCUCCCGUAUACGUGUGCGUAUAGGUUUCUUGUUCUUGCAUGUAUCCGUGUAGGAUUUAGUCUCGGAGUAGUAUUGCCUAGGCAGCUAGCUUCUACUAUAUAUAUGCGUGAACCCUGUAACUUGUACCACCGAACCGUGAGUUGAAGCAAUAAACAAGAGACGUACCUGUGGCAAUCCAAUCGAUUCUAGCGUUUUGUGUACGUGCGUUUGCAAGUCAGCCGGCUAGUAGCUCGACUUGAUUUUGCAACCCCCAAGCUGUAGGUACGCAUUGCUCUUCAAUGGAAAUCAAUUUAAACCCUCGUGGGAAAAUCUGGACUGUCCUAAGGUUGAUUUUUUUUAAUUUUAAUCCUGUAAGCACUUGAAUUGAAAGACAUAAAUAAAGGUAUUUCAGUAGUGGAUAACCUUACCUCAUUAGCCUAGACAGCACUAUAGUCAGUAUGCUGUUGUCGACCCAUAUAUCCCAGGACAGGUUAUGCAGAUUUUCUGUACCAAAUAGCCUGUCCCCCUCAUCUCUUUUUCUUGCUGUCUCACCUCUCAAUCCCGAAAACAGUGUUUCACCUCAAUUCUUAUUUCCUCUUUGGGGGCAAUAGUUGCUAUGGAAGUUGAAAGCUCUUAUUUGAACUGUCAGUUUUGAGCAUGGA
rnacentral:rRNA from 1 species